rnacentral:rRNA from 1 species
UACGUAGGGUGCAAGCGUUAAUCGGGAUUACUGGGCGUAAAGCGUGCGCAGGCGGUUGUGCAAGACCGAUGUGAAAGCCCCGGGCUUAACCUGGGAACGGCAUUGGUGACUGCACGGCUAGAGUGUGUCAGAGGGGGGUAGAAUUCCACGUGUAGCAGUGAAAUGCGUAGAGAUGUGGAGGAAUACCGAUGGCGAAGGCAGCCCCCUGGGAUGACACUGACGCUCAUGCACGAAAGCGUGGGGAGCAAACAGG